UCUGGAGGCAGCUAGGCAGUCAAAGACACUGGAACAGACCAGAGAGAAAAACACAAGCAGAUCCAGGGAUACAGAGACACCCGCCUGGAGAAGCGCACUUAAAGCCUAUGCAAGUUAAACGAGAGCUCUCACAAGAAGGGAUAUUGAGAAAGGCAAAGAUACCUGAAACUAGAGCAGCUGAAGAUAUGAGAAAAACUGAAGAUAGAGGAUCACCUGAAAGUAGAUGUCCAGAGGCAAACAAGCAAAAAGAACAAAUGACCUUGAAGCAUCCAAGAAAAUGGGAUGACCAAGGAGAUGAGACAACUCAGGAACAGGUUAAAGAUCAGAGAAGAGCAACUAAGAUGUGAAAUAAGAAAAGGAGGAGAGCAAAUCUCUAAAACAGCAGCUAAACAUUAAGAAAAGUGGAGGAGAGGGGCACUGCAGGAGAAAUGGAGGCCAAUGAAGAAAGAAGCACCAGAGAUCUGGGAAACUGGAGAUGCAGGAGAAGCUGGCCUGAAAGACUCAGCUGAGGUGCUGAGAACAACCACUACUUAAGGAGGAACAAAAGACAUGGGCUUGACUGAGGCAUAGCUGAGGAACUGUGAACAUCAGAGGAGAGAAAAAAAAUUUCUUUUGGAUUGGGUCUCCCUAUCUAACCCAGGUGGUAAAUGAAGUGGCACUCACAAGCCUGACCCCACUAAUGACUGACCUAUUGAACUGCUCCAUUUUUUAGCCAGGUAGGCCCCUAUUCCAGGGGGCUCACCAUAUUGGUGCUGGACUUAGUGAGGACACCCGAUAAGCCUUAGCUCACUGCAGUUCAGUACUUCUGACCUCAAUGGUUCUACCAGCAUCAGCCUCCCUAGUAACAGGGGUAAUAGGUGUGCACAACUACACCCAGUCCAGAGAGCAGCUUCUAAAGAAUGGGCAGAAGACAUUAAAUUUUGGAGAUGGGAACAGAAGAGUUGAGCUAUGAAAACAGAGAAGGGUAGUUAAAAAGAAACAUUGAGGAGAUUGAAAACAGAAGAUAAGGACAGUUAUAAAUGACAGAAAAGAGCUGAAAAGACUGUAGCAGGGAUGAUAGAACUGUCUAUGUCAGAAAUGAAAGAGCAGCCCAGGAAAAAGGAGAAGCAGAGAAGACUGGAGAUGAUAGCUGUGUGGACCUAAUUUCUCUGAGGAGAAAGAAGCAAAGGAUACUGUUGCGGGGAGAUGCUGAAGUCAUGAAAAGAGAGGAGAGGAGAAUGGAUGAAGGAGAAGGGAGCAGCUAGGGAUAACAGAGAAACAGAAAACUGGAGAAAUGAAACAAAUCACUAAAAAGUUGUGAACAAUACAGAGGAAGAAAAAGGAGAAGCAGAAGAGACUGAGAUAACU
rnacentral:lncRNA from 1 species